rnacentral:rRNA from 1 species
GAUGAACGCUGGCGGCGUGCCUAAUACAUGCAAGUCGAGCGAACGGACGAGAAGCUUGCUUCUCUGAUGUUAGCGGCGGACGGGUGAGUAACACGUGGAUAACCUACCUAUAAGACUGGGAUAACUUCGGGAAACCGGAGCUAAUACCGGAUAAUAUUUUGAACCGCAUGGUUCAAAAGUGAAAGACGGUCUUGCUGUCACUUAUAGAUGGAUCCGCGCUGCAUUAGCUAGUUGGUAAGGUAACGGCUUACCAAGGCAACGAUGCAUAGCCGACCUGAGAGGGGGAUCGGCCCACCUGGAAAUGAGACAAGGGCCCGACUCCUACGGGAGGGAGCAGGAGGGAAUCUUUCGCAAGGGGGGAAAGCCCGACGGAGCAACGCCGCGGGAGGGAAGAAGGUCUUUGGAUCGGAAAACUCUGUUAUUAGGGAAAAACAUAUGUGGAAGGAACUGUGCACAUCUUGACGGUAACUAAUAAGAAAGCCACGGCUAAAUACGUG